AGUGAACGCUGGCGGUAGGCCUAACACAUGCAAGUCGAACGGCAGCACAGUAAGAGCUUGCUCUUACGGGUGGCGAGUGGCGGACGGGUGAGGAAUACAUCGGAAUCUACUUUUUCGUGGGGGAUAACGUAGGGAAACUUACGCUAAUACCGCAUACGACUUACGGGUGAAAGCAGGGGAUCUUCGGACCUUGCGCGAUUGAAUGAGCCGAUGUCGGAUUAGCUAGUUGGCGGGGUAAAGGCCCACCAAGGCGACGAUCCGUAGCUGGUCUGAGAGGAUGAUCAGCCACACUGGAACUGAGACACGGUCCAGACUCCUACGGGAGGCAGCAGUGGGGAAUAUUGUACAAUGGGCGCAAGCCUGAGCCAGCCAUACCGCGUGGGUGAAGAAGGCCUUCGGGUUGUAAAGCCCUUUUGUUGGGAAAGAAAAGCAGCAGGUUAAUACCCCGCUGUUCUGACGGUACCCAAAGAAUAAGCACCGGCUAACUUCGUG
rnacentral:rRNA from 1 species